AGCUUAUCAAAACAGUUACCCUGUUGAAAAUAGACAGGAAAACAAGCUUUAUUAUAUGGGUUCAGGGGGAUCUGGCAAAAAAGGAAAAUAGCAUAAUUCUACAGCUUUAAGAAAGCCAGUUGAUUUCAAAGCCAGCAGAGUGGGAGUUAUGGCACGCUUUUAUUCUUCCCCUUCACCAAGAGGCCCAUUGUGUCUGAACAGCAGUCAGUCACCAGUGCAUUCCCUCUGUGUUCUCGAUGGAUGGCCUUAGGGCCAGAGGGGGAAAAAUCACUUGUUGUUGUUUUUGUUUUUUUGUUUUUUUUUGAGACGGAGUCUCGCUCUAUCACUCAGGCUGGAGUGCAGUGGCGCGAUCUUGGCUCACUGCAAGCUCCGCCUCCCAGGUUCACACCAUUCUCCUGCCUCAGCCUCCGCAGCAGCUGGGACUACAGGCGCCCGCCACCAUGCCCGGCUAAAGUUUUGUAAUUUUAGUAGAGACAGGGUUUCACCGUGUUAGCCAGGAUGGUCUCAAUCUCCUGACCUCAUGAUCCCCCUGCCUCGGCGUCCCAAAGUGUUGGGAUUACAGGCGUGAGCCACUGCGCCCAGCCUUGUGAUUUUUUAGGACCCCAACUUCUGACCAAGGGAUAGGGAAUCAUAAGUUAAAGGAAUGCAGAAAUACAGGACCAAGACCCUAUUUUUGGGGAACACUGAAACCAAAUAAUAUCAAAUUUGUGAAAAUGUUGGGCACCUCUCUCUAAGUCUAAAAUCUUAGGUGCUGUAUAGUAUAUAAAAAUACCAGUGUCAGAAUUCAUGAUGUAGACAAUAAUUUCUUUUCUAGGCUAUAGACAGCCAAGAUGAAUGUGAGCUUCUAAGGUUUUUUAGAGAAGCAAGCCUAGGUUUCAGAUGGAGAGACAGUGUAACUGGAGUAAGGCUUUGGGGUUAAUAAUGAUGCGGCUUCAUAACAAUAAAAACCUCCUUGUGUGGAAUAGGGUCUCAUAUCAUAGGUGAGAUAAUAUUGGAUAGUUGGAGAAGGGGAAAGUUGUGACUGGAUAAUCAUGAAUGUAAGUUUGCUUUGGGGUGAAAGCAUAAGUCUUUUGGUAGCUCAGUAAACCUCUACAGAGAGUGUCCAGAGCAAAUUUAUUUUUUAUAUAUUUUGGGUAAUAAGAAUAGGAUUACUGAGGAAGAAGCCAUUAGCAGUAGGCUCCUUGUGCUUCAUGGUAAAAGUUUGGCCCGGGGAGGGAGAUGGUAAAACUGGUACAUUUGUAAUCUUGAUUUGUCAGGAAUCAUUUGGUAGACGUGAGGAAAUAAUGCGUGGGGACAAGAUUUCAAAGGGUGAGAUG
rnacentral:lncRNA from 10 species